UUACCCUGUAGAACCGAGCGAGU
rnacentral:miRNA from 10 species